GCGCCAUUAGCUCAGCUGGUAGAGCAAUUGACUCUUAAUCAAUGGGUCCUAGGUUCGAAUCCUAGAUGGCGCACCA
rnacentral:tRNA from 1 species